rnacentral:hammerhead_ribozyme from 1 species
UGCUGACGAGUCCCAAACAGGAUGAAACAGCUGUCCA